AGUAGCUUGCUAAAUUGGUUAAAUGGCUGGAAGACGAUGGAUGGUGUCAAGCUGACCAAGAAAAAGAUGAACAUCUUCUGGGAAUAUACCACCAUAUGUGGCCAGUUACAUGCGCUCCGAGUUCUAGCUUGAGUACCUAUAUGAAACCAUAAUUAACACAGGGAGUGCGCGCCCUGUGAGUUUAAUCACUUGUCUUGAGAGUUGAGGCCCUAAAAAGGAUGGUAGAACUUUGUAAAGGGGGAAAGGCAAGUGCCAACAAGCAGCACCAUUAUCUCUAAAAGUCAUUGUCCUUACUGAGAAAGAUGUAUGAUUUGAUCCAAAAAGCCCCUCUUUGUAAGUUGGUUCUCCAUUUAAUUCUCAUGGGAGGGAAUUUUGAAGCUAGAAGAUUCAAGCUGAAGGUUAUUGGUUCUUACAAAAGAGUACGUUAGUCUCAUGAAUGUGUCGCUCAUCCAAUACACCUAAUCAUACAAGAUAGAGAGUUAAAACGCAGUACAAGGACUGCCAAAGAAAUCAUCUAUGCUAGUAGUACCUCGUCCAG